rnacentral:rRNA from 1 species
UACACUCCUGCGGGAGGCAGCAGUGGGGAAUUUUGGACAAUGGGCGAAAGCCUGAUCCAGCAAUGCCGCGUGAGUGAAGAAGGCCUUCGGGUUGUAAAGCUCUUUUGUCAGGGAAGAAACGGUGAGAGCUAAUAUCUCUUGCUAAUGACGGUACCUGAAGAAUAAGCACCGGCUAACUACGUGCCAGCAGCCGCGGUAAUACGUAGGGUGCAAGCGUUAAUCGGAAUUACUGGGCGUAAAGCGUGCGCAGGCGGUUUUGUAAGUCUGAUGUGAAAUCCCCGGGCUCAACCUGGGAAUUGCAUUGGAGACUGCAAGGCUAGAAUCUGGCAGAGGGGGGUAGAAUUCCACGUGUAGCAGUGAAAUGCGUAGAUAUGUGGAGGAACACCGAUGGCGAAGGCAGCCCCCUGGGUCAAGAUUGACGCUCAUGCACGAAAGCGUGGGGAGCAAACAGGAUUAGAAACCCCAGUAGUCCCAUGAU